ACUGAGAGUCUAAUCAUCUUGAACAUGCCCAAUUUCAUCUGAUCUUGGAAGCUAAGCAGGAUCAGGUCUGGUUUGUACUUGGAUGAGAGGGUCUACAUCUUUUAAAAAGGUGUGCUUUCUUUA
rnacentral:rRNA from 1 species